rnacentral:rRNA from 1 species
GACAGAGGUGCCAAGCGUUAGGCGGAAUCACUGGGCUUAAAGCGUGUGUAGGCGGAAUUGUAAGUACCUUGUGAAAUCCCGGGGCUCAACCUCGGAACUGCCUUUGAUACUGUCAGUCUAGAGUCCGGAAGAGGUGGGUGGAAUUCCUAGUGUAGAGGUGAAAUUCGCAGAUAUUAGGAAGAACACCGGUGGCGAAGGCGGCCCACUGGUCCGGUACUGACGCUGAGGUGCGAAAGCGUGGGGAGCAAACAGG